rnacentral:misc_RNA from 1 species
GUAGGUGAACCUGCGGAAGGAUCAUUACAGAGUUCAUGCCCUUCGGGGUAGAUCUCCCACCCUUGCGUAUCAUUAUAGAAUGUUGCUUUGGCGGGCCGCGCCUAGUGUGCCUGGAUUCGCGUCUAGCGUGCCCGCCAGAGGACCCCUAAACUCUGAAUGUUAGUGUCGUCUGAGUACUAUUAAAUAGUUAAAACUUUCAACAACGGAUCUCUUGGUUCUG